rnacentral:rRNA from 1 species
UUAAGCGACUAAGCGUACACGGUGGAUGCCCUGGCAGUCAGAGGCGAUGAAGGACGUGCUAAUCUGCGAAAAGCGUCGGUAAGGUGAUAUGAACCGUUAUAGCCGGCGAUGUCCGAAUGGGGAAACCCAGUGCAAUUCGUUGCACUAUCGUUAACUGAAUACAUAGGUUAACGAGGCGAACCGGGGGAACUGAAACAUCUAAGUACCCCGAGGAAAAGAAAUCAACCGAGAUUCCCCCAGUAGCGGCGAGCGAACGGGGAGCAGCCCAGAGUCUGAAUCAGCUUGUGUGUUAGUGGAACGGUCUGGAAAGUCCGACGGUACAGGGUGAUAGUCCCGUACACCAAAAUGCACAGGUUGUGAACUCGAAGAGUAGGGCGGGACACGUGGUAUCCUGUCUGAAUAUGGGGGGACCAUCCUCCAAGGCUAAAUACUCCUGACUGACCGAUAGUGAACCAGUACCGUGAGGGAAAGGCGAAAAGAACCCCGGCGAGGGGAGUGAAAAAGAACCUGAAACCGUGUACGUACAAGCAGUGGGAGCACCUUCGGGUGUGACUGCGUACCUUUUGUAUAAUGGGUCAGCGACUUAUAUUCUGUAGCAAGGUUAACCGUAUAGGGGAGCCGCAGGGAAACCGAGUCUUAACUGGGCGUUAAGUUGCAGGGUAUAGACCCGAAACCCGGUGAUCUAGCCAUGGGCAGGUUGAAGGUUGGGUAACACUAACUGGAGGACCGAACCGACUAAUGUUGAAAAAUUAGCGGAUGACUUGUGGCUGGGGGUGAAAGGCCAAUCAAACCGGGAGAUAGCUGGUUCUCCCCGAAAGCUAUUUAGGUAGCGCCUCGUGAAUUCAUCUUCGGGGGUAGAGCACUGUUUCGGCUAGGGGGUCAUCCCGACUUACCAACCCGAUGCAAACUACGAAUACCGAAGAAUGUUAUCACGGGAGACACACGGCGGGUGCUAACGUCCGUCGUGAAGAGGGAAACAACCCAGACCGCCAGCUAAGGUCCCAAAGUCAUGGUUAAGUGGGAAACGAUGUGGGAAGGCACAGACAGCCAGGAUGUUGGCUUAGAAGCAGCCAUCAUUUAAAGAAAGCGUAAUAGCUCACUGGUCGAGUCGGCCUGCGCGGAAGAUGUAACGGGGCUAAACCAUGCACCGAAGCUGCGGCAGCGACACUAUGUGUUGUUGGGUAGGGGAGCGUUCUGUAAGCCUGCGAAGGUGACCUGUGAGGGUUGCUGGAGGUAUCAGAAGUGCGAAUGCUGACAUAAGUAACGAUAAAGCGGGUGAAAAGCCCGCUCGCCGGAAGACCAAGGGUUCCUGUCCAACGUUAAUCGGGGCAGGGUGAGUCGACCCCUAAGGCGAGGCCGAAAGGCGUAGUCGAUGGGAAACAGGUUAAUAUUCCUGUACUUGGUGUUACUGCGAAGGGGGGACGGAGAAGGCUAUGUUAGCCGGGCGACGGUUGUCCCGGUUUAAGCAUGUAGGCUGAUUGUCCAGGCAAAUCCGGAUAAUCAAGGCUGAGGUGUGAUGACGAGGCACUACGGUGCUGAAGUAACAAAUGCCCUGCUUCCAGGAAAAGCCUCUAAGCAUCAGGUAACAUCAAAUCGUACCCCAAACCGACACAGGUGGUCAGGUAGAGAAUACCAAGGCGCUUGAGAGAACUCGGGUGAAGGAACUAGGCAAAAUGGUGCCGUAACUUCGGGAGAAGGCACGCUGGUGUGUAGGUGAAGCCCCUGCGGGUGGAGCUGAGACCAGUCGAAGAUACCAGCUGGCUGCAACUGUUUAUUAAAAACACAGCACUGUGCAAACACGAAAGUGGACGUAUACGGUGUGACGCCUGCCCGGUGCCGGAAGGUUAAUUGAUGGGGUUAUCCGUAAGGAGAAGCUCUUGAUCGAAGCCCCGGUAAACGGCGGCCGUAACUAUAACGGUCCUAAGGUAGCGAAAUUCCUUGUCGGGUAAGUUCCGACCUGCACGAAUGGCGUAAUGAUGGCCAGGCUGUCUCCACCCGAGACUCAGUGAAAUUGAACUCGCUGUGAAGAUGCAGUGUACCCGCGGCAAGACGGAAAGACCCCGUGAACCUUUACUAUAGCUUGACACUGAACAUUGAGCCUUGAUGUGUAGGAUAGGUGGGAGGCUUUGAAGCGUGGACGCCAGUCUGCGUGGAGCCAACCUUGAAAUACCACCCUUUAAUGUUUGAUGUUCUAACGUUGGCCCCUUACCGGGGUUGCGGACAGUGUCUGGUGGGUAGUUUGACUGGGGCGGUCUCCUCCCAAAGCGUAACGGAGGAGCACGAAGGUUAGCUAAUCCUGGUCGGACAUCAGGAGGUUAGUGCAAUGGCAUAAGCUAGCUUGACUGCGAGCGUGACGGCGCGAGCAGGUGCGAAAGCAGGUCAUAGUGAUCCGGUGGUUCUGAAUGGAAGGGCCAUCGCUCAACGGAUAAAAGGUACUCCGGGGAUAACAGGCUGAUACCGCCCAAGAGUUCAUAUCGACGGCGGUGUUUGGCACCUCGAUGUCGGCUCAUCACAUCCUGGGGCUGAAGUAGGUCCCAAGGGUAUGGCUGUUCGCCAUUUAAAGUGGUACGCGAGCUGGGUUUAGAACGUCGUGAGACAGUUCGGUCCCUAUCUGCCGUGGGCGCUGGAGAAUUGAGGGGGGCUGCUCCUAGUACGAGAGGACCGGAGUGGACGCAUCACUGGUGUUCGGGUUGUCAUGCCAAUGGCACUGCCCGGUAGCUAAAUGCGGAAGAGAUAAGUGCUGAAAGCAUCUAAGCACGAAACUUGCCCCGAGAUGAGUUCUCCCUGAGACUUUAAGUCUCCUGAAGGAACGUUAAAGACGAUGACGUUGAUAGGCCGGGUGUGUAAGCGCAGCGAUGCGUUGAGCUAACCGGUACUAAUGAACCGUGAGGCUUAACCUU